rnacentral:rRNA from 11 species
ACAGACAACCAGGAGGUUGGCUUAGAAGCAGCCACCCUUGAAAGAGUGCGUAAUAGCUCACUGGUCAAGUGAUUCCGCGCCGACAAUGUAACGGGGCUCAAGCACGCCACCGAAGUUGUGGCAUUGACAUUAGUGGUAGGCCUUCGUGGUCCAGCCGUGUUGAUGGGUAGGAGAGCGUCGUGUGGCGAGUGAAGCGGCGGUGUGAACCAGCCGUGGACGCCACACGAGUGAGAAUGCAGGCAUGAGUAGCGAAAGACGGGUGAGAAACCCGUCCUCCGGAAGACCAAGGGUUCCAGGGUCAAGCUAAUCUUCCCUGGGUAAGUCGGGACCUAAGGCGAGGCCGACAGGCGUAGUCGAUGGACAACGGGUUGAUAUUCCCGUACCGGCGAAGAACCGCCCAUGCUGAGCCCGGUGAUGCUAACCACCCAAAACUGGCCGAUCCUUCGGGAGAGGUCAGCGGAGCGUGGGACCCGAACCGGUAGUAGGUAAGCGCAUUAACAGGGGUGACGCAGCAGGGUAGCCACCGCGUGGCGAUGGUAGUCCACGUCUAAGGGUGUAGGGCGAGGUGUAGGCAAAUCCGCAUCUCAUACGAGCCUGAGACCUGAUAGUGACCGCGUAUGCGGGAAGUAGGGUGAUCCCAUACUGCCUAGAAAAGCCUCGGCGUCAGGUUCUAGCCGCCCGUACCCCAAACCGACUCAGGUGGUCAGGUAGAGAAUACUAAGGAGAUCGAGAGAAUCGUGGUUAAGGAACUCGGCAAAAUGCCCCCGUAACUUCGGGAGAAGGGGGGCCUGAGGCGUGAACGGACUUGCUCCGGGAGCGUUCGAUGGCCGCAGAGACCAGUGGGAAGCGACUGUUUACUAAAAACACAGGUCCAUGCGAAGUCGCAAGACGAUGUAUACGGACUGACGCCUGCCCGGUGCUGGAACGUUAAGGGGACCGGUUAGCCCGUAAGGGCGAAGCUGAGAACUUAAGCGCCAGUAAACGGCGGUGGUAACUAUAACCAUCCUAAGGUAGCGAAAUUCCUUGUCGGGUAAGUUCCGACCU